rnacentral:rRNA from 1 species
AUUGAACGCUGGCGGCAGGCCUAACACAUGCAAGUCGAGCGAGCGGCGGACGGGUGAGUAAUGUCUGGGAAACUGACUGAUGGAGGGGGAUAACUACUGGAAAAGGUAGCUAAUACCGCAUACCAUCAGAUGUGCCCAGAUGGGAUUAGCUAGUAGGUGGGGUAAUGGCUCACCUAGGCGACGAUCCCUAGCUGGUCUGAGAGGAUGACCAGCCACACGGGAACUGGAACACGGUCCAGAUGCCUACGGGAGGCAGCAGUGGGGAAUAUUGCACAAUGGGCGCAAGCCUGAUGCAGCCAUGCCGCGUGUGUGAAGAAGGCCUUCGGGUUGUAAAGCACUUUCAGCGGGGAGGCGUUACCCGCAGAAGAAGCACCGGCUAACUCCGUGCCAGCCGCCGCGGUAUAC